rnacentral:rRNA from 1 species
ACGGGUGAGUAAUGCUUGGGAACUUGCCUUUGCGAGGGGGAUAACAGUUGGAAACGACUGCUAAUACCGCAUAAUGUCUACGGACCAAACGGGGCUUCGGCUCCGGCGCAAAGAGAGGCCCAAGUGAGAUUAGCUAGUUGGUAAGGUAACGGCUUACCAAGGCGACGAUCUCUAGCUGUUCUGAGAGGAAGAUCAGCCACACUGGGACUGAGACACGGCCCAGACUCCUACGGGAGGCAGCAGUGGGGAAUAUUGCACAAUGGGGGAAACCCUGAUGCAGCCAUGCCGCGUGUGUGAAGAAGGCCUUCGGGUUGUAAAGCACUUUCAGUUGUGAGGAAAAGUUAGUAGUUAAUACCUGCUAGCCGUGACGUUAACAACAGAAGAAGCACCGGCUAACUCCGUGCCAGCAGCCGCGGUAAUACGGAGGGUGCGAGCGUUAAUCGGAAUUACUGGGCGUAAAGCGCACGCAGGCGGUUUGUUAAGCUAGAUGUGAAAGCCCCGGGCUCAACCUGGGAUGGUCAUUUAGAACUGGCAGACUAGAGUCUUGGAGAGGGGAGUGGAAUUCCAGGUGUAGCGGUGAAAUGCGUAGAUAUCUGGAGGAACAUCAGUGGCGAAGGCGACUCCCUGGCCAAAGACUGACGCUCAUGUGCGAAAGUGUGGGUAGCGAACAGGAUUAGAUACCCUGGUAGUCCACACCGU